rnacentral:rRNA from 1 species
CCUCUUCCCAUUCCGAACAGAGAAGUUAAGUCCUGCCGCGCCGAUGGUACUGGGUCCACACACCCGGGAGAGUAGGUCACUGCCGGCU